rnacentral:tRNA from 2 species
GUGUCUGUAGCCUAGAAGUAAAAGGCAGCACUCUAGUAUAAUGAGGUUGUGGGUUUGAAUCCCACCAGACACA